rnacentral:lncRNA from 1 species
AGGAGUCUAAGAGUCUUUGUUUCAUUUGCUCCCUUUGAGCACUAUGAAUCUGUUAUUCCACUGCCUUCUGUCCAUUGUUUCUGUUGAGAAAUUCACUGAAUACCGCACUGGGUUGAUCUCAAUUGAGGAAAAAACAUAUAAUUAGACUUUCUUUCUACAUCCCUUCACUUCUGGAAAGUGAUGAAAGUACAUGGGAAAGUUGAGAUGUAUAUCUCAGGGGAAAAGGACAAGAGCACAUGUGAAGAUGGUUUCUUUGAAAACUUUGAAAAGAAAAUAUGGUUCAGAAAAGGUAUGUAGGAGACUUCACAUAAUCCUCUAAUUGUUUUUUAUUUCCAAAUUUAAAAUUUUUUUAAAAAUACAAGAAUUAAUCUCCCUCUCACUCUGUGUCUAAUCUCUCAACCAAAAUGUAGCCC